UGAAUUAUUCAGGAUUAAGUGUUUAUGUGAUUAAGUUCUGUGAAUAUGGUUAUGUUCUGUGUACAAAAUGUGGUUAAGGGUCAAGGGUUGACCAGAUAAAUUAUAUCUGUAACAAACCCUAAGAAUAUAUUAAGAACAAUGUUCAGUUAGAAAACCCUAACGUCUGAUAAGAAACCCUAGAAAUCGGUUCUGGAAACCC
rnacentral:lncRNA from 1 species